ACUUGAUAUGAUGUUGUACAGCACGCUGUAUCUAUUUGCAAGCGUAUAUUAUGAUCACAACAGAUUGAAGUCAGCUGGCUCUGCAGUCAGUCAAGGCAAUCGCCCUGUAUCAACAAGGGUGUCAAGCCUGCAGAGUGUCUGAUGGUCCUCCUAAAAAAGAAGAGGUGAAUAACAUGGGUUAUGUUUCAGCCAGAUGUUUCAGUCUAUUUUGAAAAUUUCAGUGAACAUACCAGUAUGCUUAUAAUUCUAUUGUAUUGCCUCCAUCAUUUAUUUGUCCCGAAUAGUCACCAAUCUAAAAUCAGAAGAUCCGUUUUUGAGUAUCAUGGAGUCCAUCAGUGCUCUGGUGGAUUCCAUUCCCAAGCAUGAACUGAUAGUCCUGUGGGACAGAAUUCUUACCGCAGCGGGCUCACAGGAAAAGGAUCAUUGCUACUGGCAGCAGUGACACAUCUUUCAGGACAACAGCCAGACAGCACUGUCUUUGAACCCAGAUUUAGAGAAAAGCCUACCUUUUCUUUUACUACACCGAGUGUCCUGUCUACCACCACUUGCCUGCCCAAGGAUAAAGGAGAUUCUUCCAUGAAAGCCCUUCCAUUCAGGAGAUCCUCAGUCAUAUCUGUGGACUACAACAGCAGUUUGUUUGAGGACUCUGACUGCAUGAUCAAUGGAGUUCCGACACAAAGCACCUCUUGGAAACCCAGCACUCUGGCAAGUCCUAUUUUCUCUGGAGACGAGGGGAAAGUGUCUACAAGAGGCCAAAGUAAUUGUGACUCUCUCCAAAUAACACCAUCUCCAAAAAUCAAACUUGUGAUGUGGAUCAGACAAAUCUCUUCUUCUCACAGAAGAGGCCGGCAGCUGCUGUACAAGGGACUGGGGAGAGCAGUACCCAAGCCUCUGUGGCUCAAGCCCCGGCAGUCACGGAGCCGGGCAAUUAUUAUUUUUUCUUCAUUGAUGACUUUGACAUAGAUGACAUCAGUGAUUCAGAUAUCCCUGAUUACUUUGAUGAACCACUGAGCUCCUCAGCAUCAAGGCAAGAAGCACUGCAGUGCUGUCACUAAAGUGGCGUGUGAGGGAGGACUAAGAACAUCAACAUGGCAAAAGAAACCAGCUACACCAGUCCCAGUGGCCAAGCCUCCUAAAAUCCCCUCUCCUGGAAAGUACAUUCAAGUUAUAGAGCAGCCUUGAGAUUUGAUUGUAUUGUUCCUUCUACUAAACAAAUGUGAUUUAUUUUUUCUUACAUGUAUUACUUGGUCUGUAGCCCAGACACCCAUGUUUAUCUCUCAUGUCAUUUGCAGAGCCCACAUAAAGAAACCCUGCCCACGAUUGUUUCAGAGGCUUCAACUUCCCCAACUGUCCAGAGAUUAUGAUUUUCCACAAGCGCUUUGGUCUGGUUCCUAUUCAAUCAACUAGAGACCAUUAAUGCUACGUUGUUCAGUGAAGACUCAUUUUUCCUGAUGUCCACAGGAGGGGGUAAAAGUCUUUGCUACCAGCUGCCGGCCUGUGUGUGCGCAGGAGUGACUGAGGUCAUCUCACCACUGAAAUUUGUCAUUGUAGACCAGGUCCAGAAACUCAUUACU